rnacentral:rRNA from 1 species
UACGUAGGUGGCAAGCGUUGUCCGGAAUUAUUGGGCGUAAAGCGCGCGCAGGCGGUCCUUUAAGUCUGAUGUGAAAGCCCACGGCUCAACCGUGGAGGGUCAUUGGAAACUGGGGGACUUGAGUGCAGAAGAGGAGAGUGGAAUUCCACGUGUAGCGGUGAAAUGCGUAGAUAUCGGGAGGAACACCCGUAGCGAAGGCGGCACUCUGGGCCGGAACUGACGCUGAGGAGCGAAAGCGUGGGGAGCAAACAGG